UGGAAUAAUAGAAUAGGACAGGCGUCUACUUGUUGGUUCUAGACGUCUGUAAUGAUACAGAAACAUCGGGGGCGUCAGUAUGCAUCGUCAGAGGUGAAAUUCUUAGAUCGACGCAAGACUAACUACUGCGAAAGCAUUCGCCAAGGGUGUUUUCAUUAAUCAGGAACGAAAGUUAGGGGAUCGAAGACGAUCAGAUACCGUCGUAGUCUUAACCAUAAACUAUGCCGACUAGGGAUCGGGCGGUGUUAAUUUUUGACCCGCUCGGCACCUUACGAGAAAUCUUAAGUGCUUGGGCUCCAGGGGGAGUAUGGUCGCAAGGCUGAAACUUAAAGAAAUUGACGGAAGGGCACCACCAGGGGUGGAACCUGCGGCUUAAUUUGACUCAACACGGGGAAACUCAUCAGGUUAGGAUAUUUUUAGGAUUGACAGAUUGAGAGCUCUUUCAUGAUUAAAUAGAUGGUGGUGCAUGGCCGUUCUUAGUUCGUGGUUAUGAACUGUCAGCUCAAUUGCGAUAACGAACGAGACCGCGACUGCUAAAUAGCCCGCGCCGCCCCGGCGGCGUGCCGGCUUCUUAGUGGGACUAUCGGCUCAAGCCGAUGGAGGUACGCGUCAAUAACAGGUCUGUGAUGCCCUUAGAUAUCCUGAGCCGCACGCGCGUUACACUGGCAGGGCCAGCGAGUUUUUUUCCUUGGCCGAGAGGCCCGGGUAAUCUUGUUAAACCCUGCCGUGCUGGGGACAGGGCAUUGUAAUUAUUGCCCUCGAACGAGGAAUCCCUAGUAAGCGCGAGUCAUCAGCUCGCGUUGAUUGCGUCCCUGCCCUU
rnacentral:rRNA from 1 species